rnacentral:rRNA from 1 species
GACGUAGGGUGCGAGCGUUGUCCGGAUUUAUUGGGCGUAAAGAGCUCGUAGGCGGCUCGUUGCGUCGGCUGUGAAAACCCGCAGCUCAACUGUGGGCUUGCAGCUGAUACGGGCGGGCUGGGAUUCGGUAGGGGAGACUGGAAUUCCUGGUGUAGCGGUGAAAUGCGCAGAUAUCAGGAGGAACACCGGUGGCGAAGGCGGGUCUCUGGGCCGAUAUCGACGCUGAGGAGCGAAAGCGUGGGGAGCGAACAGG